GUUCUCUUCAUUCUUGUUAAUGUAUUGGAUAUAUUCUUAUAUGUAUACGUUGAUCUGCCAAAAUACGAGCAGAGUCAGCUGACUUCCGGUGGAACUAUUGUACUCACGCUGAAAAUAAUCAACGUGAGUGCUAAAGACGAGGUUAAUUACAGAGUUGUCGUAGAAAGUGAUGGGAAAUCUUUUGUAAGCAAUCAACACGCACUGGACGUACACGAAGAUGCCUCAAACUGUGAACCUGGUAAAUAUGGAGAUAAUUGUGAGAAAGAAUGCUCCGGAAACUGCGCCAAUAACGCGAUAUGUGACCC